rnacentral:rRNA from 1 species
CCUACGGGAGGCAGCAGUGAGGAAUAUUGGUCAAUGGACGAGAGUCUGAACCAGCCAAGUAGCGUGAAGGAUGACUGCCCUAUGGGUUGUAAACUUCUUUUAUAUGGGAAUAAAAUGUUCCACGUGUGGGAUUUUGUAUGUACCAUAUGAAUAAGGAUCGGCUAACUCCGUGCCAGCAGCCGCGGUAAUACGGCGGAUCCGAGCGUUAUCCGGAUUUAUUGGGUUUAAAGGGAGCGUAGGUGGAUUGUUAAGUCAGUUGUGAAAGUUUGCGGCUCAACCGUAACAUUGCAGUUGAAACUGGCAGUCUUGAGUACAGUAGAGGUGGGCGGAAUUCGGGGUGUAGCGGUGAAAUGCUUAGAUAUCACGAAGAACUCCGAUUGCGAAGGCAGUUCACUGGACUGCAACUGACACUGAGGCUCGAAAGUGUGGGUAUCAAACAGGAUUAGAUACCCCAGUAGUC